rnacentral:rRNA from 1 species
AACUGAAACAUCUAAGUAACCGGAGGAAGAGAAAACAAAAGUGAUUCCGUUAGUAGUGGCGAGCGAACGCGGAUUAGCCCAAACCAGUGUUGUUACGGCAAUACUGGGGUUGUAGGACCACGAUAUUCGAAGCUAAGUAAAUUAGAACUGUUUGGAAAGACAGACCACAGAGGGUGAUAGUCCCGUAUAAGUAAGCGAAGUUAAGAUAGUGGUAUCCUGAGUAGUGCGGGACACGAGUAAUCCUGUAUGAAUCCACCGGGACCAUCCGGUAAGGCUAAAUACUCCUGAGAGACCGAUAGUGAACUAGUACCGUGAGGGAAAGGUGAAAAGAACCCUAAGUAAGGGAGUGAAAGAGAUCCUGAAACCGUACGCCUACAAGCGGUCGGAGCACAUUUACUGUGUGACGGCGUGCCUUUUGCAUAAUGAGCCUACGAGUUACUGUUUCUAGCAAGGUUAAAUGAUUAAGUCAUGGAGCCGUAGCGAAAGCGAGUCUGAAUAGGGCGCACAGUUAGUAGUAGUAGACGCGAAACCGAGUGAUCUACCCAUGGGCAGGUUGAAGCUGUGGUAACACACAGUGGAGGACCGAACCAGUUGACGUUGAAAAGUCUUUGGAUGACCUGUGGGUAGGGGUGAAAGGCCAAUCAAACUCGGAAAUAGCUCGUACUCCCCGAAAUGCAUUUAGGUGCAGCGUUGAGCGAAAGUUUUAUAGAGGUAGAGCUACUGAUUGGAUGCGGGGGCUUCACCGCCUACCAAUUCCUGACAAACUCCGAAUGCU